rnacentral:rRNA from 1 species
GUGGGGAAUAUUGGGCAAUGGGGGCAACCCUGACCCAGCGACGCCGCGUGAGGGAAGAAGGCCUUAGGGUCGUAAACCUCUGUUGUGUGGGAAGAAGGAAGUGACGGUACCACACGAGGAAGUCCCGGCUAACUACGUGCCAGCAGCCGCGGUAAUACGUAGGGGACGAGCGUUGUCCGGAAUUACUGGGCGUAAAGGGCGCGUAGGCGGUCAUUUAAGUCAGCUGUGAAAUGGUCCGGCUCCACCGGAUCAUGCGGUUGAAACUGGAUGACUGGAGUGCUGGAGAGGCAAGUGGAAUUCCCAGUGUAGCGGUGAAACGCGUAGAUAUUGGGAAGAACACCGGUGGCGAAGGCGACUUGCUGGCCAGCAACUGACGCUGAGGCGCGAAAGCCAGGGGAGCAAACGGGAUUAGAAACCCGAGUAGUCC